rnacentral:rRNA from 1 species
GCGUGGAGCCAACCUUGAAAUACCACCCUGGCAACUUUGAGGUUCUAACUCAGGUCCGUUAUCCGGAUCGAGGACAGUGUAUGGUGGGUAGUUUGACUGGGGCGGUCUCCUCCUAAAGAGUAACGGAGGAGUACGAAGGUGCGCUCAGACCGGUCGGAAAUCGGUCGUAGAGUAUAAAGGCAAAAGCGCGCUUGACUGCGAGACAGACACGUCGAGCAGGUACGAAAGUAGGUCUUAGUGAUCCGGUGGUUCUGUAUGGAAGGGCCAUCGCUCAACGGAUAAAAGGUACUCCGGGGAUAACAGGCUGAUACCGCCCAAGAGUUCAUAUCGACGGCGGUGUUUGGCACCUCGAUGUCGGCUCAUCACAUCCUGGGGCUGAAGCCGGUCCCAAGGGUAUGGCUGUUCGCCAUUUAAAGUGGUACGCGAGCUGGGUUUAGAACGUCGUGAGACAGUUCGGUCCCUAUCUGCCGUGGACGUUUGAGAUUUGAGAGGGGCUGCUCCUAGUACGAGAGGACCGGAGUGGACGAACCUCUGGUGUUCCGGUUGUCACGCCAGUGGCAUUGCCGGGUAGCUAUGUUCGGAAUAGAUAACCGCUGAAAGCAUCUAAGCGGGAAACUAGCCUCAAGAUGAGAUCUCACUGGAACCUUGAGUUCCCUGAAGGGCCGUCGAAGACUACGACGUUGAUAGGUUGGGUGUGUAAGCGCUGUGAGGCGUUGAGCUAACCAAUACUAAUUGCCCGUGAGGCUUGACCAUAUAACACCCAAGCAAUU